UACAGAGGGUGCGAGCGUUAAUCGGAAUUACUGGGCGUAAAGGGUGCGUAGGUGGUUACUUAAGUUAGGUGUGAAAGUCCUGGGCUCAACCUGGGGACUGCACUUAAUACUGGAUGGCUUGAAUUCGGGAGAGGAUAGCGGAAUUCCCAGUGUAGAGGUGAAAUUCGUAGAUAUUGGGAAGAACACCGGUGGCGAAGGCGGCUAUCUGGACCGACAUUGACGCUGAGGCGCGAAAGCGUGGGGAGCAAACAGGAUUAGAAA
rnacentral:rRNA from 1 species